rnacentral:lncRNA from 1 species
GGACAAGUAGGUCACUAGCUGAAUAUAAGUAGGAUGUGAACCACCAGAGCUAUGGAACUGCCAGGGUAUACUAGUGCUAUGAAGAGGCUGUGGAGAGCUGCAGCCGGGGGUGGAGUGUGGAUCACGAGCUCUGAACAGAGGGUGGCUGAUGGCAAGUGGGAACAGAUGAUCAACUAGAUCCUGACUCAUGAGGUCUGCAGCUGGCCUCUGGGUAGGAGUGUCUCAGGCUUCAGUGGCUUUGCCCUGUUUUCCUCAGUAUGCAGCUUGGACCUUUGGCUUGGAUCUUCUCCUUGGGACUGUUCCUGGGACUUCACUUUUUGGACUUCUUCUUGGAUCCUGCAUCAGUGAACUGGGGGAGUAGCUGGCCUUCCUUUCCUGGAGAAGGGUGAGAACAUUGGAGCUUGGAGAGAUUAAACAACUAGACUGAGACCUGACAGCUACCACAAUAUCAGAGCUGGGAUUAGACUCUAGGUCCAGUGUAACAAAAUCAGCCAAACAAGCAAGCAUUGGUGAAGCAUCCACAAUUUGCCAGCCACUUUCCCCUAUUAUACCUUGUCUCUAGUUCCAUGAUGGGCCCAUUGAAACUCUUAGUCGGAUCUCAUGCAGGAAUCUGAAGUGUUGAAAGCUCUUUCAACUUAAAACUUCUUUUAUCUUGUCUUCUAAUUCAUUUCUCCAUUAGCAAAACUAAAAUAUUCAUUAA